AGUGAACGCUGGCGGUAGGCCUAACACAUGCAAGUCGAACGGCAGCACAGUAAGAGCUUGCUCUUACGGGUGGCGAGUGGCGGACGGGUGAGGAAUACAUCGGAAUCUACUUUUUCGUGGGGGAUAACGUAGGGAAACUUACGCUAAUACCGCAUACGACCUACGGGUGAAAGCAGGGGAUCUUCGGACCUUGCGCGAUUGAAUGAGCCGAUGUCGGAUUAGCUAGUUGGCGGGGUAAGGGCCCACCAAGGCGACGAUCCGUAGCUGGUCUGAGAGGAUGAUCAGCCACACUGGAACUGAGACACGGUCCAGACUCCUACGGGAGGCAGCAGUGGGGAAUAUUCGACAAUGGGCGAAAGCCUGAUGCAGCAAUGCCGCGUGAGUGAAGAAGGCCUUCGGGUUGUAAAGCCCUUUUAUUGGGGAAGAAAAGAAGUAGAAUAAUACCUGGAUGUUUUGACGGUACCCAAAGAGAAAGCACCGGCUAACUUCGUG
rnacentral:rRNA from 1 species